GUCUGUCAUUGGCAGCACAUAAACUAAAAACUGGAGCGAUACAGAGAUUUUCGUAGUCCCUGCACAAAGAUGACAAAGACAUUUGUGAAACUUUCUUUCUUUCU